rnacentral:rRNA from 1 species
CUUGGUCAUUUAGAGGAAGUAAAAGUCGUAACAAGGUUUCCGUAGGUGAACCUGCGGAAGGAUCAUUAAUGAAACUUCAAGUCGGCUUUGUUUAUCUGUGCUGGUGGAGACACAUGUGCACGUUAACAAGUCGCAAAUCCACACACCUGUGCAUCUAUGACUCUGAGUAUCGCUUUGCGUGGCCCUCAUCUGGGCCUGGUACUCGAGUACUUUACACACUCUUGAAUGUAAUGGAAUGUCUAUUUGUGCAUAAUGUACAACUAAAACAACUUUCAACAACGGAUCUCUUGGCUCUCGCAUCGAUGAAGAACGCAGCGAAAUGCGAUAAGUAAUGUGAAUUGCAGAAUUCAGUGAAUCAUCGAAUCUUUGAGCGCACCUUGCACCCUUUGGUAUUCCGAAGGGUACACCCGUUUGAGUGUCAUUGUAAUCUCACUACAACCACUUUAGUGUUUGUUGUAUGUGGACUCGGAUGCUGCUGUGUAACUAACAGCUCGUCUGAAAUGCCUGAGUGUACCCUGCUUUGCGGCGUAUUCGGUGUGAUACAUCUUCACCGGAGUUUGACUUUCGGGUCGCGUUUGUAUUGUUUGGCUCUAUGCUUUCCAACCGUCUUGACAAGACAAUCUCUGACAAUUUGACCUCAAAUCGGGUGGGACUACCCGCUGAACUUAAGCAUAUCAAUAAGCGGAGGA